rnacentral:rRNA from 1 species
GACGUAGGGUGCAAGCGUUGUCCGGAUUUACUGGGCGUAAAGAGCGCGUAGGCGGUCUGUUAAGUGUAGAGUGAAAUCUCCAGGGCUCAACCCGGAAACUGCUCUGCAUACUGGCAGACUUGAGGGACUGAGAGGUGAAUGGAAUUCCUGGUGUAGCGGUGAAAUGCGUAGAUAUCAGGAGGAACACCGGUGGCGAAGGCGGCAUCCUGGACCGAGAUUGACGCUGAGGCGCGAAAGCCGGGGGAGCAAACGGG